AACUAUUCCAAGUGGUACUGGUACAUUUUUUAAUUUAUAAAGAUACUGGUACAUUUCAUACUUUUCAUUCAACAGUUAUAGAGUAACAAAGGAGGAUUUUAGAGCACACUGCACAUUUCAGGGACAUUGAUAAAAUGAGUGGAAAAAGAUGGCGCACCAAGGAUAAGUCAAGAUUCCAUAUUCACUGGGUUCCAAAUGAAGCAUUCAUGUACAACCAGAGGGAUCAAACAUAACACUCGACACUGCAUAACGAUUCACCAUUUUCACAUUCAAAUGAAAGCUCUAUCCAUAAGGUAGAAAUAGGUGAAGAAACAUCAGCAUGCAUUUUAAGAACAGCAAGUCCCGCUGGCGGCUCGUUCCGCAGGUCUAUCAUUGAGAUUCAUCCCCGUUGGAUUCUGUGCCGGCUGAACUCGUGGCAGUCUCUUCGCUGCAAGGAAGAUGACCGACCAACCAACCAA
rnacentral:lncRNA from 1 species